rnacentral:rRNA from 1 species
GAUGAACGCUGGCGGCGUGCCUAAUACAUGCAAGUCGAGCGAACGGACGAGAAGCUUGCUUCUCUGAUGUUAGCGGCGGACGGGUGAGUAACACGUGGAUAACCUACCUAUAAGACUGGGAUAACUUCGGGAAACCGUAGCUAAUACCGGAUAAUAUUUUGAACCGCAUGGUUCAAAAGUGAAAGACGGUCUUGCUGUCACUUAUAGAUGGAUCCGCGCUGCAUUAGCUAGUUGGUAAGGUAAGGGCUUACCAAGGCAACGAUGCAUAGCCGACCUGAGAGGGUGAUCGGCCACACUGGAACUGAGACACGGUCCAGACUCCUACGGGAGGCAGCAGUAGGGAAUCUUCCGCAAUGGGCGAAAGCCUGACGGAGCAACGCCGCGUGAGUGAUGAAGGUCUUCGGAUCGUAAAACUCUGUUAUUAGGAAAGAACAUAUGUGUAAGUAACUGUGCACAUCUUGACGGUACCUAAUCAGAAAGCCACGGCUAACUACGUG